AUACACACACACACACCUAUUCGAUAUCGCACUUACCGAGAUGCAUCUAUAAAUUAUCAUCUAAUUGUAAGUAACUCAAGUUCAGUUCUGCUCUAGUACCACCGUCGGUAUUCGUACGCGUGCGAAUUUUUUUUUUUUUUUACACAUGAUACACACACACACACACACGCGAACGUAAAACGUCAGUUUCACCCACCUGAUUUUGUCGACUCGUCGUAUUUUUUAAUCGAUUUCUUUUCUUAUUUUUUUUUUAUAUCAUUCGCAAACGCGAUCAUCCGCCCCAAUUUAUUUAUCGAAGAACGAGAAGUGACGAUGAUAUUAUUAUUUUUUUUUUUGCUCCGUUCCGGUUGGAAGGGAUGAAAAAAAAGGAGGACUUACGAUCGGAAUGGUACAUUUUGUACAUCAUACAUCGAUAGAACGUAUCCUAUAAGUAUAGAAUAGUGGUGACGGAAAUAGAUGCGUCGAAGGGAAGAGAUAACCUGUUUGACCUUUUCUUGCAAGCACGAAGCGUAAUUGAACCACUUGGGAUCGUCUACAUGGCGACGAACCACCGACGCGCUUAUACCGCACGCCGCAAUUCUCUACACAACGUACACGGUAUUACUAUCGAUAUACAUAUAUACCAACGUGUGUAGGAUAUACGUACCACCUGCAGCCGAAAGAGAAAGAGAGAUUGAGGAAGAAUUAUGAGGGAACUUGAUCGGGGGGGUUUACAUAUACAUACAGGAAGGAAGAAAAAGAAGAGAGAGAUAUCGAGGAGAUCGCCUCGAUGUGCAGUUCGCAGUAAAUUUCACCAUUGAUUUCGAUACGCAAAUAUAUCGCGUACAGUUGCGCGUACGUGAAAACCGCACGAGGUGUGAAGAUUCGUCGGAUAACGGGGGUAAAUUUGGAGAAUCUACGUUACGGCGAUACAUAAUGAAUAUAUAGAGACGCACGUUGGAGGAUGUGUACGCGAGGUUUUUGCGGAGGUAUACAUAAGGUGAAUUUCAAUCUCCUAUAGAAUCGACGUCGAGCGAGAAGAGCGACCGCAUCAGCUAACGGUUAACAGAUUCUAAACCGUUCACUGGCCCCCGUAGAUAGGAGAUAUAUUUACACGUGAGUCUCCAGGUAUACGUACAUAUGUACGAGGAAUACGCAGAUGUACGUACGUAGCGCAGAGAUGGAUAAAAGUACGAGAACAAUCGUCAAUGACUGUUAACGCAGGUCAUGUUUUACUUUCGUUUAUUUCGUAUUUUCUCACGUUACGCUAUUAACGGGCGAACGACGAUGUACGGUUUCGCAUACUCUACUCGACCUCGACCGAAACACCAUAGAUACCGCGAUUACUUCAGAUAUUCAAUCGGGAGAAACGUAUACACGUUUGGCAUUCGAUUUGCAAUUUAUUGAAAAAAUCGGUGAUCGACGAUUCGACGAGUCCCCCCGCUCGUCGCAGGUGAAUCGUUCAACGUCGCGACUGCAAUCGGAGCGUAUCGAACGCGCGGAAAUCUGAAAAAUCGAUUUUACAUAUCCCCGCGUACUCUUCGGGGGCACCGUGUACGACGACGGUCCCCCCGGUGGUCGCGGAGGACGGUUGAGUCAAACUACGGAACAGGGCAGAACCAGUUACCGCCUUGGGGCCACCGGCGUACGUCGACGUUACAUCCGAGCGCGAGCAAAGCCAAAGCCAAAGCCAAAGCCACGUAUAAAAGCUUAAAGGGAAAACCGGGCAUUCCGGUGCUUCACCUUGAGCGAUAUGCAUGCAUGCGAUGUGCGGAUACGUGUAUGCAUUACAAUACGCGUGCUACUUGCACGGCAGCGGCUAUGGCGGUUGGAUUGUAAGACCGCGAGGACGAUAUCGGUUGCAUUGCUGACCUUUGUUAAUAAUUCAGGGUCGACGGAAUGCCAUUUGUUUAUCACAGUCUUCUUCCUAGCUCUCCUCGUUGGAUAUCUCGUUCUUCGUUCGUCUCGACGACGAGUACCUGCGCGGUCGACGCGUGUGGUUUUGACAAAAAAAUACAUUUCGCGCAUAUUCCGAACGGACGUUACAAAUUGACAGUCGUUUGUGAGGAGAAACUAUCAACUAUUUUACGUUAUAACGCGGUACGAUUAAGUUCGUCGUGGCGAGAUUGUAAAAUGAUGCAAUUAUAGGAGCCCAAAAGGCAACGUUACAGUUUAAACGAAAACCAUUAAUCGUCUCUGUCUUGUAUCGUAAGAACAAAAAAUCGGCGAGCAAAAAAAAAGACUAUACAGACCAUAGGUCAAAGAUAUGAGAAAAAAUUAGCUCCUAUCGAAACGGAGGUGGAAAGAAAAAAGGAGAAUUGACAACGUAAAACUGUCGGUUGAUAAAUUACGUCAAACAUGUACAUGUAUAUAGCGAAAUCAUUGAAUUCGACACGACGGGCGCAGUUUUUUUUCAUACUCCGAUUGCAAAAUGAUCGAUUUGCGAUCAAAUUUCGGUAGCGAAACGUGAAAGAAGAGAUAUUAAAAAAUCAAGAGGGACAUUUUACCAUUACAGUCUCAAGAAUAAAAAUGCGCCCUUGUACGGUAUAGCUGUAGGUACUUGAAAAUUGUAAUUUUUCUUUUGACUUCCCAAAUUGCCGUCAAAUUAGCAAAGUGACUAAUGUAAGUGGCGUUCGUGAGUCAGGCGAACAAAACGGAGGAACUGUGAGUUGACUCGAUUUUCAUAUCGCUCUGUCCACACACAGCUAUACACAUUAGAGUCGCUGUCCGUAAGUGUACCGCGUCAACGCGGGUAUACUUAUAGCUCCGCGGAAGCCCUCGAGUUGCAGAAAAAAGGAAUAGAAGAAAAUGGGAAAAGAGCUGUAAAGAAAAGAAUUACACGGCAAAAGGGGAGAGAAGAGGAAAGCGUAAAAGGAACCCGAAUAAUGGGCCAGGGUCGCGUUCUAAAUACGAAACUAUUAUACAGGCGCCACUUACACCGCUGUGUCUGGUCUUUAUCGAGAUUCCAGAUACGAGAUUUUAAGCCUUUUAUACUCGCUCGCUCGCGAUCAACGAGAUUUUUUUUUUAUCAUGAAAAAUGAACGUAAUAAAAAUAGAAUAAACAAAUAUGCAAACGAACGAAUAGAAGAAAAAAAAAAAAAGCAACUCACGAUACAUUUUUAGCGAAUAUGUGAUUUUCUCUUGGCAAAAAAAUUUCGAUGAUAUAAUUGAGACACAGAAAUUAUAUCGGAACGAUUAAUUAUACCACGUAUAAAUGGGAGCUAAAUUCUCUUGAUAUAUAAAUUAUGUUUUUUUUUCUUUGUCACUCUGUCGUCGAGACCGGGCUUUUCUCCUCUUUCUUUCCAUUGAUUUUAUGUUUAUUCAUUUUAUUUUUAUUUAUUUAUUUAUUUAUUUUUUUUUUAUUAUCGAAAAUCGAUUCCUCGCAUUUCACAUCACCGACAUUCUUUCUCUAUUUCUCUCUCGCUCGUCUCGUAAAAGUUUGCGAUUCGCGCACGCGUGUUAAAACGUCCCCAUCGGUAUAUUCUCGCGACGUUUUAUCUGCAGAGGUUUUUCCCGUCAAUACCACCGCGACGACGACGACCACGACGACGACGACGACGACGUGUAUCUAUGCGUACUAAAAAAGCCGCCCGGUAUAGAAGAAAAUCCGAUUCAAAUUUGACUUUUGACACGCAGGAUGAACCAGCGACGACAUUGUGAGAGA